rnacentral:rRNA from 1 species
AGAGUUUGAUCCUGGCUCAGGAUGAACGCUGGCGGCAUGCCUAAUACAUGCAAGUCGAACGAGGAUCCUUGUGGAUCCUAGUGGCGAACGGGUGAGUAACACGUAGGGAACCUGCCCGCGCACCGGGAAUACGCUCUGGAAACGGAGAACAAAUCCCGAUGUACAGGAAGGAGGCAUCUUCUUUCUGUGAAACAUCCUGUAAGGGAUGGGGCGCGGAUGGACCUGCGGUGCAUUAGUUGGUUGGCGAGGGUAAAGGCCCACCAAGACGAUGAUGCAUAGCCGGCCUGAGAGGGCGGACGGCCACAUUGGGACUGAGACACGGCCCAGACUCCUGCGGGAGGCAGCAGUAGGGAAUUUUCGUCAAUGGGCGCAAGCCUGAACGAGCGAUGCCGCGUGAGUGAAGAAGGCCUUCGGGUCGUAAAGCUCUGUUGCGGGGGAAAAAAGGCAUCUGCAGGAGAUGGUAGAUGACAGAUGGUGCCCCGCCAGAAAGUCACGGCUAACUACGUGCCAGCAGCCGCG